rnacentral:rRNA from 1 species
UACGGAGGGUGCAAGCGUUAUCCGGAUUUACUGGGUUUAAAGGGUGCGUAGGUGGGUAGGUAAGUCAGUGGUGAAAUCUUCGGGCUUAACCCGGAAACUGCCAUUGAUACUAUUUAUCUUGAAUACUUUGGAGGUAAGCGGAAUAUGUCAUGUAGCGGUGAAAUGCUUAGAUAUGACAUAGAACACCAAUUGCGAAGGCAGCUUACUACACAGUUAUUGACACUGAGGCACGAAAGCGUGGGGAUCAAACAGG